CAGAGAAAGAAAAGAAAAGGGAGGGAGAAAAAGAGAGGAAAAGAAAAGAGAAAAAUAGGGAUUUUCAACCCUAAUCAUCAAGGUAAUGCCUCUAAUCUUUUAUUUAAGUUUAUUACAUAAUUAUGGGUGAAUCUUUAUGGUGAAAACAUGGGGAUAUUUUGAGGAAUUGAGAAAGUUUAGCCCUAGAGCUCUUCAACCUAAAUCAUUGAUUUGAAGGGGCAAAUAGUGUCGGAUUUUAGACUUCUAUAUAUCGUUGGAAUCCUCUCGUUAAGGCCUUCCCGAAAACAUAUGUCUUAUCGGGUUUUGAACACAUUGACCAGAGGGCGUUUUCGUACUUUGAAGUUUGAUUUUAACCGUUUAAGCCUCUAAAAAUAUAGAAGUGGUUUACCCUAAGGGUUUUGACCAUUCUAAAUCCGUUUUUGUGUAGUUUGAGGCAAUCCGGAGACUCGAGAACGCAGUUUUGAUUUAUUGGGAAGUGUGCUUGAAUUAUGAAUUUGAGAUACUGUUGGUGACGACGAAGCUAGUAGCUCACGAGUUUGCUAGAGUUAAUCUAUUGGUUGAGGUGAGCCGCCGCUUUGUUCAUGGAGGCUACCAAAAGUGUCUUUAUCAUUAUUUAUUAAUGUUUUUUUCUUUUUCUUUUGGGAUUUACAAACCCGAGUCUUUUCUAAUUCUCUUAGAUGCUCCAUGGUCUAGUGUGGGAUUUGGGCAAGAGUAUUUGGUUAAUAUUUUGAGACACUAAUUAUCCGUAAUUAAUUAUUAUAUUAUUUGAGUGCUCAUUUAAUUUGGUUAAUGCUGCAAAAA